GACGAACGCUGGCGGCGUGCUUAACACAUGCAAGUCGAACGGAAAGGCCCUGCUUUUGUGGGGUGCUCGAGUGGCGAACGGGUGAGUAACACGUGAGUAACCUGCCCUUGACUUUGGGAUAACUUCAGGAAACUGGGGCUAAUACCGGAUAGGAGCUCCUGCUGCAUGGUGGGGGUUGGAAAGUUUCGGCGGUUGGGGAUGGACUCGCGGCUUUUCAGCUUUUUGGUGGGGUAGUGGCUUACCAAGGCUUUGACGGGUAGCCGGCCUGGCGGGGUGACCGGGCUCUUGGGGAUAGGAGACGGGCCGAGACCCGUAGGGGGGGGAGGUGGGGGAAAUAUUAGAUAAGGGGCGGAAGACUGAUGGACCAACGCCGGCUGGGGGGAGGCGGCCUUCGGGUGGAAAGCCGCUUUCGCUUGUGACGAAGUGUGAAUGGCGGAAAUGGGUAAAGAAGCACCGGCUAACAGCGU
rnacentral:rRNA from 1 species